ACGGCUCAGUAACACGUGGAUAACCUGCCCUUGGGUCCGGCAUAACCCCGGGAAACUGGGGAUAAUACCGGAUAACGCACAUAUGCUGGAAUGCUUUAUGCGUAAAAUGGAUUCGUCUGCCCAAGGAUGGGUCUGCGGCCUAUCAGGUAGUAGUGGGUGUAAUGUACCUACUAGCCAACAACGGGUACGGGUUGUGAGAGCAAGAGCCCGGAGAUGGAUUCUGAGACAUGAAUCCAGGCCCUACGGGGCGCAGCAGGCGCGAAAACUUUACAAUGCGGGAAACCGUGAUAAGGGGACACCGAGUGCCAGCAUCAUAUGCUGGCUGUCCGGGUGUGUAAAAUACACCUGUCAGCAAGGGCCGGGCAAGACCGGUGCCAGCCGCCGCGGUAACACCGGCGGCCCGAGUGGUGAUCGUGAUUAUUGGGUCUAAAGGGUCCGUAGCCGGUUUGGUCAGUCCUCCGGGAAAUCUGACGGCUCAACCGUUAGGCUUUCGGGGGAUACUGCCAGGCUUGGAACCGGGAGAGGUAAGAGGUACUACAGGGGUAGGAGUGAAAUCUUGUAAUCCCUGUGGGACCACCUGUGGCGAAGGCGUCUUACCAGAACGGGUUCGACGGUGAGGGACGAAAGCUGGGGGCACGAACCGGAUUAGAUACCCGGGUAGUCCCAGCCGUAAACGAUGCUCGCUAGGUGUCAGGCAUGGCGCGACCGUGUUUGGUGCCGCAGGGAAGCCGUGAAGCGAGCCACCUGGGAAGUACGGCCGCAAGGCUGAAACUUAAAGGAAUUGGGCGGGGGAGCACAA
rnacentral:rRNA from 1 species